rnacentral:lncRNA from 1 species
UACCAUUCUGAACUUUCAAAGAAAAUCGGCCAGGAAAAUUCUCGAUUUUUUCCAAAUUUUGGAUUUCUUUAGAAACAGAUAGAAUUUUGAAGUAAUCUUUAUUAAUAAUUAAGUUUUAAAGCUUUCAAAAAAUUUCAAAUGGUUUGCGCAAGGUUUGGACGUGUUUUUUGAAACCGAUUUUAUUAACACUUUACAUUUACAUGAGGAGUUCGUUUGGAGGAAAGAAAGUUUAUGAAAUCCCCCACCAGGUGCCACUGCAGUUUAACAACAACAAUGGCUGCCAUUUCUCCACAUCAUGCUCCACAUUGAUUAGUGCUAAGUGUCACGUUUCGAGUAUGAGAUGAACAUUUUUUAAAAAAUGUUUGUUUUAGCAGAUUAAUUAUUGUCAGUCUUCAUAGUUCGUUUUCUUGUAGAUUCUGUGAAAGUCGUGCUGGUAUUGCGACCAUAUCUAAAGGGAUUGUGGCCCAGUUAAAGCGUGGUUAAAGUGAGUACUAUAACUGAACCCAGAGAAAAGAAGAAGAAGGUCAUGAUCAGAAUUAUUGAAAAUAUUCUGCCCAAGGAAUGACGCCUUAAACGAUGAAAUUGCGGAGGCGAUCUUCAACAGUAUUGCGUAACAAUAUUGCACCCAUCCCCAGCAACGUCAACCUGCAGAAAAAAAAGCCCAAAAAGGCCAGUUUCUAUGGCCUUCAGACUCGAAGAUCGCGGAGAUAAUUACGUAAACUGGCAUGGUUAGAGGUUGGGUGAGAAUGGCACGUUUUUCAACAUUAUCAAGCAGACCCAUCCCCGGCAAAGUCACCUGCAGAAGGAAAGGCCAGUUUGCAUU